UGGGUCCUCUCCGGUUAGCCCUCAAAGUCUUCGCGCUCCGAGUGGCCGCCGGAGUCUGGGCGUGGCGGGCGCGCCCAGUGAGGAAGCCCCGAGCCCCCAAGGUGCAGACAGGGCGCGUUGAGCCUGGAGCUCAGAGCUGUUCACUGAGAAGAGCUCUGAAUAAAGGAAAACAUUACUGGGCAUAUCUGAAACCAAGCUUAAGGUCAGGGAUUUUGUUCUCCUUGUUCUCUUUUUGUUUUUCAGAAAAGGGAGUAAUUGUUCUGAAAUGGUUAGGUUACUAGUAGGCAGGGCCUUUUGAUGGACUUUGGCAAAAAGCCUGUGGUGGAAGUGACAUUGUAAGAUUUGUGAGACAAAACCUUAGGAGGUCCGCUCUUUUCCUCUUCCUGCCCUGAGGCCACCUUUUACUGAAAGUUAUGACUAGCUUGCUUGGAGAUAGAAGAUCACCUGGAGACAGAGGCCCGGCUGACAGCAACAGCUACCAGAUAUUUCAGAGACCGUCUUGGACCAUCCAGCCCCCACCCAACCACUGGCUGCUAUUAGAUGAGUGGAAUCAGUAGACCCAACCAAGCCCAAAUUGCCAACCCCGGAAUAAUGAGCUAAUGAAUGUUUUUUAAGCCACAAACUUUUGGAAUGGUUACAUAGCAACAGAUAACUGAAACAGUUUAACUUUUUUGACUUUUUUUUUGUAUCACUCAAUAUUGGUAUAAUUGUAUUUGUUAAUCUGUUUUGUAAAGUGAUUUCUCUACUGAUGUUAUAUCUUGAAAUUUUUCUAUAUCCUUAAUUACUUCCUACAGCUUUGGAUUUGUUUAUCUUAAUAUUCUUUUACGUGGAUAUUUUGUAAUUUAUUUAACUAUUAACUUUGCUGGGCAGCUCCUUCUUACUGUCCAGCUCCCAUGUCUUCACCAACUUUGCAUUCCCUUCUAGAACCUUAUCAGGACAUGAGUUCCAGUCAUUUUAGGGGUAUGUAGACCCAGGAAUGUGGAAUUGACUUCUGCUGAGUGGAGUAUAGAUAACUCACCCCACUCGGAAGAAUUUGUUCAAGGGUGUGAUAAAGGAUCCAUAUGUAUUUCUUUCAUCAA